rnacentral:rRNA from 1 species
UGGGGAAUAUUGGACAAUGGGCGAAAGCCUGAUCCAGCCAUGCCGCGUGUGUGAAGAAGGUCUUCGGAUUGUAAAGCACUUUAAGUUGGGAGGAAGGGCAUUAACCUAAUACGUUAGUGUUUUGACGUUACCGACAGAAUAAGCACCGGCUAACUCUGUGCCAGCAGCCGCGGUAAUACAGAGGGUGCAAGCGUUAAUCGGAAUUACUGGGCGUAAAGCGCGCGUAGGUGGUUUGUUAAGUUGGAUGUGAAAUCCCCGGGCUCAACCUGGGAACUGCAUUCAGAACUGACUGACUAGAGUAUGGUAGAGGGUGGUGGAAUUUCCUGUGUAGCGGUGAAAUGCGUAGAUAUAGGAAGGAACACCAGUGGCGAAGGCGACCACCUGGACUAAUACUGACACUGAGGUGCGAAAGCGUGGGGAGCAAACA